rnacentral:misc_RNA from 1 species
GCAACCUACCCGAACUCUCGGCGGGCCACCGAUUGAGUUCCUAUUUGGUCUUGCUACGAGUGGAGUUUACCUAGCUGCCAAAUGUUACCACUGGCACGGUGCGCUCUUACCGCACCCUUUCACCCUUACCAGCCAAAGCUGGCGGUCUGCUCUCUGUUGCACUAGUCGUAGGCUCGCGCCCCCCGGACGUUAUCCGGCACUCG